GAUGAACGCUGGCGGCGUGCCUAAUACAUGCAAGUCGAGCGAACAGACGAGGAGCUUGCUCCUCUGACGUUAACGGCGGACGGGUGAGUAACACGUGGAUAACCUACCUAUAAGACUGGGAUAACUUCGGGAAACCGGAGCUAAUACCGGAUAAUAUAUUGAACCGCAUGGUUCAAUAGUGAAAGACGGUUUUGCUGUCACUUAUAGAUGGAUCCGCGCCGCAUUAGCUAGUUGGUAAGGUAACGGCUUACCAAGGCGACGAUGCGUAGCCGACCUGAGAGGGUGAUCGGCCACACUGGAACUGAGACACGGUCCAGACUCCUACGGGAGGCAGCAGUAGGGAAUCUUCCGCAAUGGGCGAAAGCCUGACGGAGCAACGCCGCGUGAGUGAUGAAGGUCUUCGGAUCGUAAAACUCUGUUAUUAGGGAAGAACAAAUGUGUAAGUAACUAUGCACGUCUUGACGGUACCUAAUCAGAAAGCCACGGCUAACUACGUG
rnacentral:rRNA from 1 species